UACGUAGGGGGCAAGCGUUAUCCGGAUUUACUGGGUGUAAAGGGAGCGCAGACGGCAGUGCAAGUCUGGAGUGAAAGCCCGGGGCCCAACCCCGGGACUGCUCUGGAAACUGUACGGCUAGAGUACAGGAGGGGCAGGCGGAAUUCCUAGUGUAGCGGUGAAAUGCGUAGAUAUUAGGAGGAACACCGGCGGCGAAGGCGGCCUGCUGGACCGAAACUGACGUUGAGGCUCGAAAGCGUGGGGAGCAAACAGG
rnacentral:rRNA from 1 species